rnacentral:lncRNA from 1 species
CCAUUGCUUUUAAGAGUCAAGGUCUUCCAGUCUCCAAAAGCCUCAUUCUUUCCCUUGGUUUAUGAUAUUCAAUUUGGCUCCUGCUGUAAUGUACACUGAAACCUCAGGCUGCUGAGCUAUCUUGAUGGUUUUAAGAAGACAAUCUGGUGCCUUUACCUGCUAGAGAAGUCACCUAGAAUCCUGUUGUUUAAGAACUACUUAACAAUAUACAUACUGAUCCAUUGUGGAAUUAUUAAGGAAAAUACAUUGAAAUAGGUGGCAUUCUUGUCAAAGAUAUAUAUGGACGGCUAGAUGGAUAGAUAGGUGAAAAUCAUGUUCCAUGGAAGAAGAGUUAGCUCAGCCUGCAACUCAAACAAGUACAGAUAUUCUUCCAUGGAAUGACCAUCAUACUUGGAUUGUAAUAAAAAUGCUUUAGGCAAACUUCUCAUUUCAUCCUUGGCAUAUUAAAAAUAUGACACAACUGUCACAAUAGGUUUCAAGAUGGAUCAUUUUUACAACAAAAACUUCUUUUUAGUUUGCUAACGCAUAGAGAAAAAUGGAUGGGAAGAAGUUAUUAAAGAAAUAAUACAAGAGAAUUUUCAACAGCUGAAAGUAAUCUCAAAUGGUCAAAUUGAAAGGAAUGCUGAAAAGGAUGAACAACAAAGAUCAUGACGCACACCAAAAUAUGAUGAAUUUUCACAGCUUCAUGAAUGAAAAUUUUAAAAAGUUUCCAAAGAGGAAAAAGUGCUGUCACCCACAGAAGAAUGAGUUCACACUUCUCACUAGAAAGCACCAAAAUGCCUUAAAAGAAUGGGUAAUUUGGAAAGUAUAGGGAAAGGUAACUUUCAACCCAUUAUUAUAAAAAUACCUAAAGUUUGAGGUAAUAUGAGUAUAAUUGGACGAGAGCAUGGGAAAUGCCUUUUCUCUACUUUCUGACACCCAAAACCUCAAAUACCACUACAGGGAGAAAAAAAGAAUAGAAAUCAUGCUUUGACUUUAAACUGGAAAUAAAUAAGAAAUUCAGAAGUGUCUGGGUUUAUUUGGAAAUGAGAAGAUCAGUCUGUCAUCAUGUAUGAUAGCAAUUUAUAAAAGAAGUUAAAAACUGUAAGAAGUUUUCUUUUUUUUUUUUUUUUGCACCCCUGAGUAUGUGGCUUGGGACAUUCAUAGCUAUUAUUAUGAUCAUUACUAACAGCAAUUAUUUCUGAAUGCUUAUUAUCUACUAGCUACUUUGUUUUAUCCUCUACAUAUAAAAUCAUAUUGAGUACUCAACAAUUGGAUGGGAUGUGGGUAUUAUUAUCUUCAGUUUUUCAAUGACAAACUAAGGCUUGGGAACUAUAAGUAACUUUCCCAAAGUCAUACAUUUUGCAAGUGGUAAAGUUAAAUUACAACCAGAUUUUCAUGACUCAUUUAAACCCAUUGUCUUAAACAUUAUUUUAAAAUCUUACAAUGAUCCAACUAAUUAUCCUUAGCAAACAAUACACAGACCUUCCUUGACCUCUCAACAAUUCAGUGCUUGCUUUACUAUUAACAUUUUUUGUUGUUGACAGAAAUAAUUAAAAUAUUUUCAAUCCCGUAUCUCCAGGACCUUCUUGGUAUUAUCCUUUUAAAUUCCCUUCCAGAAGCUACAUGACUCAUCUCUUCAAAAUCUCCUCUUCCAUGAAACCUAGAGGAGAGAAAGCCUAUUUUCAAUAAGUCGUAGCAUUCCUUGUUCUCUGCUGAUAAGACUCUACUGAAUAAGUACCUGUGUAGGGGCAUUCAGCAUUGGCUUAAUUCAUACCCAAGGGCACCUUACACUGCUAAAAGCUUCCAAAAAAUUCUAGAAAAGUGCCUGAAGGAAAAUUUUAAGUACUAGUGG